rnacentral:SRP_RNA from 2 species
GCCAGGUGUGGUGGGGCAUGCCUGUAAUCCCAGCUACUUGGGAGGCUGAGGCAGGGGAAUUGCUUGAAUCUGGGAGGCUGAGGUUUCAGUGAGCUGAGAUCAUGCCACUGCACUCUAGCCUGGGUGACAGAGUGAGACUCUGUCUCAA